AUAGGUCAGGGCGCUUAUAUAAUAUAUGUUAUAUAAUUUAUAAUAUAUAUUAUAUUAUAUAUUAUGUAAGCGCCCUGGUAUAGG